AGAGCCUCAGCUCAAAGGCAUCGUCACCAAAUUGUUCUGCCGCCAGGGUUUCUACCUCCAGGCGAAUCCUGACGGGACCAUCCAGGGCACCCCAGAGGACACCAGCUCUUUCAGUGAGAGAGGAAGCCAGCUGCUGGGUGGGAGGGGAGGGGAGAGCGGGGCUAGGAGGUGGCCAUCCUGUGCCUGCUUCAAGCGCUGUCAUUCUCCGUCUGGCUCUUUGACACCCCCCCCACCACCACCACCAAGGGAAGCAGGGGAGCCAGGAUGGGGGUCUGAGGCUCGGGACACUGAUGCCCCCUCUCUCCACCCCCAGCCCACUUCAACCUGAUCCCCGUGGGGCUCCGUGUGGUCACCAUCCAGAGUGCCAAGCUGGGUCACUACAUGGCCAUGAACGCCGAGGGGCUGCUCUACAGCUCGGUGAGACACUGAGGCCGAGUGGCCAGGGGAUCGCCGCCCCUGCCAGGGCUCCCCAGCUACAGCCUUAACUACCGCUAGGACUCCCUCUCCCGCCAGCUCUUGCUGAUGUGCUGUUAUUGCCCACCGCAGAGCACCUCCGCUAGGGUCCCUCCCAUCCCUGCUGCCCGCGUAGCCCCCCAAGAACCACCAGGCUCUUUGGCCAACUCUUCCAGCCUUUUGGAACUCCUGCACAUCCUACUCCCUCCAGAUUUCAUGGUUACUGAACUUCGCCAGACUCAGCCCGGAGAGGGGCUGGCAAGAGAGGCUGGAAGGAGAGUAGAGAGCAGGUAUCUUAUUCCAGGCCCCACCCCCACCUCCUGGGGGGGGGGGUUGCGGCCCAGAUGCUCCCUCGUUCCCCUUUUCUCCUAGUUUCUACACGGAGUAAGAAGUUGGCCCUCCAGCCCAAAACGCAGGGGUUGUAUCCUGACUCGGGCUCUUUUUUUUUUUUUUUUAAGUUUAUUUAUUUUAGAGAGAGAGAGCAGGGGAGGGGCAGAGAGAGAGAGAGAGAGAGGGAGACGCAGAAUCCAAAGCAGGCUCCAGGCUCCGAGCUGUCUGCACAGAGCCCGACGCAGGGCUCGAAAUCUUGAGCUGUGAGAUCAUGACCUGAGCCGAAGCGGGACGCUCAACCGACAGAGCCACCCAGGCGCCCCCUGGCUGCUUCUUCUCGGGGCUCCCUUCUGUCCAGUGAUCAGUCUUUUCGUCUCUGUCUCUGUGUGCCUUUCUGGCUCUUUGUCUUGUCAGCCGCAUUUCACAGCUGAGUGUCGCUUUAAGGAAUGCGUCUUCGAGAAUUACUACGUCCUGUACGCCUCUGCUCUCUAUCGCCAGCGCCGCUCUGGCCGGGCCUGGUACCUGGGCCUGGACAAGGAGGGCCGAGUCAUGAAGGGAAAUCGGGUCAAGAAGACCAAGGCAGCGGCCCACUUUGUGCCCAAGCUCCUGGAAGGUGAGUAUGGAUGGACUCAAGGAAAGGACGUCGGGGGGAGGGUGCUGGCGUCGAUGUGAACAUUGAGUGACACACAGCUAAGGUACUACGGGUGUUAAAGAGGACACCUGUUAUGAGGGGUCAAACCAGGAAGGCUCUGGCCCCUGGUCCCCGGGACUUUGGGGAGCCCUUCUCCUGGGGGUUGGGAUUCCCAGAGGAUGGGUGUAGGGGAUGGGAGCCCUUUCAAAGCGGAUUCUUCCCACGUCUCUCCGUGCCUAAUUCUCCUUCCUGCUCCUCUCUCUCCCCUUCACAGUGGCCAUGUACCGGGAGCCUUCUCUCCACAGUGUCCCUGAGACCUCCCCUUCCAGUCCCCCUGCCCCCUGAAAUGUAGUCCGUGGACUGGAGGCUCCUGUAACUUGCACGGAGCCAGCCACAGCCACAGCCUGUCUCCCAGCCCUGCUCCCAGCCCCGCCCCCACCCAUGCCGCCACACUCACGCCCUGAGCAGCCAGGUCCCACCCGGUGCUCGAUCCUGAGGGAGCCAAGGGGCUGGUCGUGACUCCCCAGGCUUCCCUGCUCCUCGGGCCUGGGAGUUCAGAGAGGGGGAGGCUGACAGUGGUCCUGGCCGAUCCCUUCUUUCCUUCCGCACCCACAGCCCCGCAAAGCCUUUUCCCAAGAAGGCGCCCGGGUUCCCAAAAUGACAGAACCAGGACAUAAAUAUUCCCCACCCCGGGGCUCAGCCAGUUCCUGGAGCCCUGUGCCCUUUUCAUUGCCACUGAACCAUAGAUUUAUAGGUCUACUGGAGCUCAGGAUCAGUUUCCUUUUUUCCCUCCUCCGCCUUCUGCCUUGUUCUGGACAGGUUCUGGAACACCAGGCACCCUAGCCAGGGCCCUUUUUGCACUCAGGCUCUGGGCUGGAAUGCUGGCAUGCUGCCAGGCUCUGUUCUGGAUCCAUCAGGCUUCUGUCCUUGACCCAGAUGGACCCCCUGGUUUCCAGGUAGAGAGGGGCUGGGUAUGAGCCCCGUCCGGCUGCUGGCCUUGGCCUGAACUAGGACCGGUCCCGGAACACCACAGUUUUAACUUUCUUAUCCCAAAGACACCCACUGCUAGAGCGUGGUGUUCUAGACACAUAUGGAGCCAUACUUCCUCCUGAAUCUCGGCUCUAGGACGUAGACCAGGACUCAGCCCUUUCCUCCAGGAUGGAAACGAGGCCUGAAUAGCCAUAUUAAUGCUCAUAUAGAGGAAGCUCUAGACCCAUCCUCCUACCUUCUCUAGUAAUGCGUUUCUUGGUGAAUCAAGAAA
rnacentral:lncRNA from 1 species